rnacentral:rRNA from 1 species
UGGGGAAUAUUGCACAAUGGGCGCAAGCCUGAUGCAGCCAUGCCGCGUGUAUGAAGAAGGCCUUCGGGUUGUAAAGUACUUUCAGUGGGGAGGAAGGCGAUAAGGUUAAUAACCUUGUCGAUUGACGUUACCCGCAGAAGAAGCACCGGCUAACUCCGUGCCAGCAGCCGCGGUAAUACGGAGGGUGCAAGCGGUAAUCGGAAUUACUGGGCGUAAAGCGCACGCAGGCGGUCUGUCAAGUCGGAUGUGAAAUCCCCGGGCUCAACCUGGGAACUGCAUUCGAAACUGGCAGGCUAGAGUCUUGUAGAGGGGGGUAGAAUUCCAGGUGUAGCGGUGAAAUGCGUAGAGAUCUGGAGGAAUACCGGUGGCGAAGGCGGCCCCCUGGACAAAGACUGACGCUCAGGUGCGAAAGCGUGGGGAGCAAACA